rfam:Actinomyces sp. CtC 72 NODE_21_length_50225_cov_18.0177_ID_41, whole genome shotgun sequence.
GCCCCGGUAGCUCAGUGGAUAGAGCGUCUGCCUCCGGAGCAGAAGGCCGCAGGUUCGAAUCCUGUCCGGGGCA